rnacentral:rRNA from 1 species
GACGAACGCUGGCGGCGUGCUUAACACAUGCAAGUCGAACGAAGUGGGAACGGGUGAGUAAUACGUGGGUCACCUCCCUCCUUUUUGGGAUAAGCCUUGGAAACGGGGUCUAAACCGAAUAGAUGGGCUCGCGGCCUAUCCGCUUGUUGGUGGGGUGAUGGCCUACCAAGGCGGUGCAGGGUAGCCGGCCUGAGAGGGUGACCGGCCACAGUGGGAUGGAGAGACGGCCCAGAUGCCUACGUGAGGCAGCAGUGGGGGAUAUUGCACAAUGGGCGGAAGCCUGAUGCAGCGACGCCGCGUGGGGGAUGAAGUUUGUCGGAUCGUAAAACUCUGUUGUUAGAGAAGCGGUAUCUAACCAGAAAGCCACGGCUAACUACGUGCCAGCCGCCGCGGUAAUUC